rnacentral:rRNA from 1 species
UUUAAAUUGAGAGUUUGAUCCUGGCUCAGGACGAACGCUGGCGGCGUGCCUAACACAUGCAAGUCGAGCGAUGAAACUUCCUUCGGGAAGUGGAUUAGCGGCGGACGGGUGAGUAACACGUGGGUAACCUGCCUCAAAGAGUGGGAUAGCCUUCCGAAAGGGAGAUUAAUACCGCAUAACAUUAUUUUAUGGCAUCAUAAAAUAAUCAAAGGAGCAAUCCGCUUUGAGAU